rnacentral:rRNA from 1 species
AACGCGAAGAACCUUACCAGCUCUUGACAUGUCUCGUAUGGGGACCGGAGACGGUUUCCUUCAGUUCGGCUGGCGAGAACACAGGUGCUGCAUGGCUGUCGUCAGCUCGUGUCGUGAGAUGUUGGGUUAAGUCCCGCAACGAGCGCAACCCUCGCCCUUAGUUGCCAUCAUUCAGUUGGGCACUCUAGGGGGACUGCCGGUGAUAAGCCGAGAGGAAGGUGGGGAUGACGUCAAGUCCUCAUGGCCCUUACGGGCUGGGCUACACACGUGCUACAAUGGCGGUGACAAUGGGAUGCUGAGGGGCGACCCCGAGCAAAUCUCAAAAAGCCGUCUCAGUUCGGAUUGCACUCUGCAACUCGAGUGCAUGAAGGUGGAAUCGCUAGUAAUCGUAGAUCAGAACGCUACGGUGAAUACGUUCCCGGGCCUUGUA